UACGAAGGGUGCAAGCGUUACUCGGAAUUACUGGGCGUAAGGCGUGCGCAGGUGGUUUGUUUAGUCUGCUGUGAAAGCCCCGGGCUCAACCUGGGAAUGGCAGUGGAUACUGGCAAGCUAGAGUGCGGUAGAGGGUAGUGGAAUUCCCGGUGUAGCGGUGAAAUGCGUAGAGAUCGGGAGGAACACCAGUGGCGAAGGCGGCUACCUGGACCAGCACUGACACUCAGGCGCGAAAGCGUGGGGAGCAAACAGG
rnacentral:rRNA from 1 species